rnacentral:lncRNA from 1 species
GCCCCUCCUAAAGGUAGAAAGAUCAAGGAAUAAGACAGUAAUGUUAUAAAUCAGCCUGUACACACAGAUAUAUCUCCAAGCCAAUAUUAACUUCUAGAGCACAUUUCUCUUAAACAAUGAACACUCUAGUUAGUAUACAAGUUAAAAGUCUCUACCUAUUUUCAAUUUUAAAAUAGUUUCUCAAUGUUUUAGUGGUAUGAUGUAUUUGCACAUAUAGUUUUUUCAAGUACUAUUGUAUGGGGAAGUAAUUGACAAGGCCAUAAUGAAAGAAGACCUACACUGCGUUCCUCUCCUUCUUUGUGGAGGCCACUUUAAGGGUCUCAGCUUUACACAAAAGGGUCUGCCACCCAGGACCUAUAUGCCACACCAGCAACAAGGGUGCAGUGGGCCAUAGCACAGCAAAAUAUGACAGAAGAGAGAAAAUACUAAGCAGAAGAGACAGCUGAAACAAAGAAGCAGGAGGGGGUGGCACAAAUGCCUCCUAUCCCAGGUGUAUUAAGUGAUCAGAGAAGUGACAGUCACCAUACAGUUGGGUUACAGCCAUAAAAUGAGACAACUGAGCCCCAUCUGGGGUGAGAUUAAUUUUCUGUCCCUUAUUUAUCCCCUAAUUUUUAAAAAUUCCAAAUAUCACAUCUACUAUGAAAGAAGAUUCCAAACACAAGUACUACUUUUCCUGCAAUACAAGCAAAUUUCCCGUUAUCUCUUCUGAAUCUUACUAGCAACACUGUCAUGUUCACAGAGUCGAAUCCUUUUUUCUAAAGCAACAUAUUAUAGGAAUGAACUUUAAAGAUGAAAUAAGUGUAAGAGAUAUGAUUAUCUCUGCCACACAACGAGAAACAAUAAUGAGGUAGUGUGGUUUUCUGUAUAGCACUUCCCUUACUAUCAUCCCAUGCUAUACUCUCCUUGGUUAUUCUCAUAUUCCCAUCUACCCUGAGAGUUAAAGAGAACAUGGAUAAUUACUCCAUCUACAGACUCAAAGGCAUUCCCAAGUUCCCAUUGUUGGGUGAACUGAACCCAGACCUUGAUUCCUAUGAUUCCAAUUACGGAGCUUUGUUAAUUUGCCUAUAAAUCUUGACUUUGCAUUCCCAUCUUUCAAACUAUCAUUUCAGCAUAAAAAUAUCAAAGGGAAGCUAUGAACUAAUAAUUAGCAUAUCACUUUAACAAGGCCUACAUCUAAGAAUCACCAUGGUAAAUGUAGGUAGUAUGUAGGACACAACCUCAGAAAUAUUCUCAGAAUUCCAAGAAGUAAGAACAAGCAUACUUACUUUUGUGGCAGCUUUAACACUAGACAAUGCAUGUGCUAUGAAGUAACCAUUUCUCUCUUCCUCCUCCUUACAGCACAAAGUAACAGAUGGGCUAUCUCAACUAAAAAUGUCAGCACUUUAUUGACCAAGCUUCUCCUAGAUUCCAUAAUAGCAAUAUGUGAAUUAUGAUUUCUCUUUUCAGGGACUAAGGGGGCAUAAUUAUUAUUCAGGAAAACUUGCUUGCCUUUUUUCACACUGCCAUUUCAAAUGUUAUUCCAUUUUUAAGACACUUGUAUUUUUCUCAUUCUACAAUAUUGUCCUAUGUAAGAAGUAUUUCCUUCCUGACUCAUAAUUCAAUGCUUAGACUAUUAGACCAUACCACCUGCUAUAGGGUGACAUGCAUCUCAUUAAAGAUAGCUGCCGUUAUUAAUGAUCAAGCACAGCUCAAUGAGUACAGUAAAAACUUUAAACAUAAGCAUAAAGCAAAACGCUAAAGAUAAAUUAGGGCUGCAAGGAAACUCAGCUUCAAUAAAGCAUCUGGCUGAAAUAUCUAUAUUCAGCUUCAGUCUAAUACACCAGAAAAUACUGGAUUUUGAGUAUUAACUACAGGCCUUCUACAUAACAAAUAUUCAUAUUUUUACUUCCCAUCCAUCCUACAAGUAAACCUAAACCCAAAUCUUAAAGCAUACCUAAAAACUUUAAUAGGAACUCUAUAUAAAUUCACAGAAAUCAUCUCUUUUGUUGGGCAUAUUUUAUGAAUUGGGUAUUAUCUGCAUUAGCAUGGUACAAGAAAUAUGUUAAAUAUUUUAAAUGACUUGAUUCAAAUUUCCAUUGUGCCUUCAUAUUGAGUAAAAUAACAAAAAGCAUUUCUCAAGAUAGUAUUGUUCAUAGUUUACCAUUGUUUCCUCCAAAUGUGAGAAAGGGUCUAAUUUAUGACAUUAUGCUAUGGUGUUUCCUUAUCUUGUUAAAUGAUGCCAUUUUCUGCCUUUCUCACCCAAACAGCAUCUGCUAGUCACAAAACUAGAAACACAUCUUUUAAUUAAAUGCUUAUUUUAUUUUCCCUAGGGACGAUGGAUUGUAGAAUUACUUUCUCAAGAUUUACUGUUUCCUUUCCCUUUAUCUCAAGCCUGGAUAUACAUUCAACAUGUCCUCUGAAGUAACAACCGUCCCAUCUGGCUGAGAAGUGAUGGACACCGUUCCUUAAUCACACCGUACACUCCGUUCUUGGCACCUCCAUGCCCAAAAGAUAUCAACAAAUUGGAUGGAAUUCAGAGAACAGCAAGAAAAAUGAUUAAAGAGAUGGAGGCACUGACUUAUGAGUAAAGAUGAAAGGACAAAAUCUGUAUAGCUUGGCAAAGCAACAACUGAGGUACCAUAUGAUAACUGGCUACAAGUGUUUGAAGAAAUGUAAACACCAAGAGAGGAGAGGGAACUUUUUAGGAUGAUCUACAGAAUAAGCAGAGCAAAAGAACAGAAUUGAAGAAAUGGGAGAGAUUUCCUAAAGAGGGGAUGUUUGCUCAUCUGUUGCAGAUGCUGAUAAAUACCAGAGUGAAGUCUAAAGAAAACAAUGUGUAUCUCAUGCUUUUAGGUGGCAAUCACGGUUGACCUACACCAAUAAAGUGGCAAUCUGUUUGUAUGCACACAUAUAAUAUUUGUGCUGUCUUUUUCAGUUUACCAAGUGCUUCCACACACAUCAUGUCAUUAAAUUAACAGAAUGAACUUAUGCCAUUACUAAUUAAUCUUAAAUAAGAAAAAGCAGAAGUUUCCUUCUGCCUAGGUAUUGAGGCAACCAGGUAAAUCACAAGCGAAACAUAUGCGACUCUGAAUUUAUAAUCUGCUUGCUUUCUCAACACUCUAUCUUCCAGAAUUCCAAUACAAUUUAGACUAUGCUCACUCACAAUCUAGAAAAAGUAUUUAAAGUUAUGUCUAAAGCAACAGUCCUCAUUCUACCUGUUCUCUUGCUGCUCUUUGCUGGAGGAGAUUAGACAUGAAGUAUUACCUGGGCAAAAUUUUGUGAGUAAUCUUUUAAUUCUAUUGAUGACCCAGUGGGAAAAUGACUCCUGUUUGGCUACUCUCUUCCCUUGGGUGAUGGGUUCCAUCAUGGCUUACUGCCUAAUUCUGUCAGCUGCAGCCCUCAGAUCAUUCAUUAAUGCAAAGUGUUAAGAUUCACUUAAUAUUAUACCCCACCCCAUGUAAGAAUAACCCGAAUAAAAUUCUUUAAAGAGUUGCAGCUCAAAUGUGCUAAGAGAUGUUAUGUGUGUAUUGUUCACUGGUUUCAGGUUGUGAAUCCUUUCCAACCACCUACCUACCACAUGUUAGGUUUCUGAUGGAGAUAUACUUGUAAAGUAAUUCAGUUAUGAAUAUUAUUAUUUCUAACUAGAGCAUUGGGUCCAAAUCCCCUAAAGAUUUCUAACAUUGAUGAAUUGGUCUGGAGUAUGUAUGAGUUACAAAGGCACUUCUGUAUAGAUAAGAGUCUGAAGUAUAUUCUCUGUUUCAUGCUUCCUUUCCCUGGUCCACAUAAUGAUUUCCUAUUAGCUUUCUCUAAGUUAUUGCUGGAAAGGAAAGAAAGACACAUUUCCUACCCAUUAGGAAACUCCAAAGUACCUAUACCAUAAAAUAUAUUGGAAAAAAAGUGAAAGGAUCAAUGUCAAAGUAAAUACUGUAAUGAGAACAUAAAAUCUCCCCCAAAUCAGGAGAAUCUUCCUUGUAGAACUAAGAACUUUUAGACAAUUUUCUCUUCAUCCUGAAAUUUGUGGACCUUUGCACAAAAUGUGUGUCCUUGAUCUAGAACAUAUAAAAACCUCUUGGGAAGUAUAAAGAAGUUGGAAAUGGUGAAACAUUGGCCUUUACUCUAAAAAAAAAAAAACUACAGGAUUUAUCUUAAAUACAAAGAGCUUAGCAAGCGAUGUUUUGGCAUGACAACCCUUCGGAAACAUCUAGGGGCGCCUGGGUGGCGCAGUCGGUUAAGCGUCCGACUUCAGCCAGGUCACGAUCUCGCGGUCCGUGAGUUCGAGCCCCGCGUCAGGCUCUGGGCUGAUGGCUCGGAGCCUGGAGCCUGUUUCCGAUUCUGUGUCUCCCUCUCUCUCUGCCCCUCCCCCGUUCAUGCUCUGUCUCUCUCUGUUCCAAAAAUAAAUAAACGUUGAAAAAUAGUGACAUCUACUCUAUAGCUGGAUCUGUCUGUUAGAUGUUAGAUGAUGGCAAGAUUUUGAGUGUAUAUAUUCUAGAGCAGUAGGUUUCAAAUUUUGAUGUAUAUAUCAAUCACUGGGGAAACUUGUUAAAGUGCAGGUUUGUAUAUAAGAGGUCUGGACUAGGGUCUGAGAUCUUGAAUUUCUAAUAAGUUCCCAGAUGAUGUUGAUGUUACUGGCCCAUGUACUGUAUUCAGAAUAGCAAGAUUCUAUAGGACAUUUUCAUUCUAGCUGUAUGGCACAGCAGUAAAAAAUGGCUACAACUAGCCAUGUACAUUUCAGAGAAAACUCACUUUUGAAUUAAAUUCAUUUCAUAUGGUAUUAACAGAAUGCAUGCAGGUAGCAGGCUCUUAUAUUGGUAGCUUUAUUUACAUUACAAUUUUAUAACAUUUUCCUUCUUUUAAUUCAAGUUCUAUUUUUAAAAAUAUGUUUUAAGUCCACACCCUGAUAAUAAUCCUACUUUGGAAAAGGGCCCUGUGGAAGGAAGGAAGGAAGGAAGGAAGGAAGGAAGGAAGGAAGGAAGGAAGGAAGGGCAGAAGAGGAGGGAAGGUGGGAGGGAGGGAGGGAGGAAGGGAGGAAGGAAAGAAGAGAAGAAACAAAGAAAGGAAGAAAAGAAAAAAAGAAAAGAGAAGAAAAGCUCCAGUCUGUCUGGACCUCUGAGAGAUAUCUUUUGCAAGGAAUUUUUAAGUUUGGGCCCAAAAAGUGGUCUUUCGUUCUUCAUCCUAGAGGCUAUAAUGGAAACUAGGAUGAAGAACCCAACAGUGGCUGUUUGGGAGUGGAGGAGGGGCCAUCCAGACCCAGUGAAUCACCAAGGAAACACAAGGCCU